rnacentral:rRNA from 1 species
AAGACCUUGCGCUUUUGGAGCGGCCGAUGCCUGAUUAGCUUGUUGGUAAAGUAAAAGCUUACCAAGGCUUCGAUCAGUAGCUGGUCUGAGAGGACGACCAGCCACACUGGGACUGAGACACGGCCCAGACUCCUACGGGAGGCAGCAGUGGGGAAUUUUGGACAAUGGGGGCAACCCUGAUCCAGCCAUGCCGCGUGAGUGAAGAAGGCCUUCGGGUUGUAAAGCUCUUUCAGCCGGAACGAAACGGUUACGGAUAACACCCGUGACUACUGACGGUACCGGAAGAAGAAGCACCGGCUAACUACGUGCCAGCAGCCGCGGUAAUACGUAGGGUGCGAGCGUUAAUCGGAAUUACUGGGCGUAAAGCGUGCGCAGGUGGUUUUGUAAGUCAGAUGUGAAAGCCCCGGGCUCAACCUGGGAACU